rnacentral:rRNA from 1 species
UGGGGGAUAUUGCACAAUGGGCGAAAGCCUGAUGCAGCGACGCCGCGUGGGGGAUGAAGGCCUUCGGGUUGUAAACUUCUUUUGCUCUGAACAAGGCGCACCAUGGGGUGUGUUGAGUGUAGGGGUUGAUUAGCGCCGGCUAACUACGUGCCAGCAGCCGCGGUAAUACGUAGGGCGCGAGCGUUGUCCGGAAUUAUUGGGCGUAAAGGGCUUGUAGGUGGCUGGUUGCGUCUGUCGUGAAAGCUCAUGGCUUAACUGUGGGUUUGCGGUGGGUACGGGCUGGCUUGAGUGCAGUAGGGGAGGCUGGAAGUCCUGGUGUAGCGGGGGAAUGCGCAGAUAUCAUGAGGAAUACCGGUGGCGAAGGCGGGUCUCUGGGCUGUUACUGACACUGAGGAGCGAAAGCAUGGGAGCGAACAGG